rnacentral:rRNA from 1 species
GAUGAACGCUGGCGGCGUGCUUAACACAUGCAAGUCGAACGAUGAAGCCCAGCUUGCUGGGUGGAGUAGUGGCGAACGGGUGAGUAACACGUGAGUAACCUGCCCUUAACUCUGGGAUAAGCCUGGGAAACUGGGUCUAAUACCGGAUAGGAGCGUCCACCGCAUGGGGGGUGUUGGAAAGAUUUAUCGGUUUUGGAUGGACUCGCGGCCUAUCAGCUUGUUGGUGAGGUAAUGGCUCACCAAGGCGACGACGGGUAGCCGGCCUGAGAGGGUGACCGGCCACACUGGGACUGAGACACGGCCCAGACUCCUACGGGAGGCAGCAGUGGGGAAUAUUGCACAAUGGGCGCAAGCCUGAUGCAGCGACGCCGCGUGAGGGAUGACGGCCUUCGGGUUGUAAACCUCUUUCAGUAGGGAAGAAGCGAAAGUGACGGUACCUGCAGAAGAAGCACCGGCUAACUACGUG